rnacentral:rRNA from 1 species
GGCAACCCUGACGGAGCAACGCCGCGUGUGGGAGGACGGCCUUCGGGUUGUAAACCCCUUUUCUCAGGGAAGAAGUUCUGACGGUACCUGAGGAAUCAGCCUCGGCUAACUCCGUGCCAGCAGCCGCGGUAAUACGGAGGAGGCAAGCGUUAUCCGGAAUCAUUGGGCGUAAAGCGUUCGUAGGCGGCUGUUCAAGUCUGCUGUCAAAGACCGAGGCUCAACCUCGGGUCGGCAGUGGAAACUGGAUAGCUAGAGGUCGGUAGGGGCAAAGGGAAUUCCCAGUGUAGCGGUGAAAUGCGUAGAUAUUGGGAAGAACACCGGUGGCGAAAGCGCUUUGCUGGACCGAACCUGACGCUGAGGGACGAAAGCUAGGGGAGCG